AUCACAUGUGAUAAAAGCCACCAGGACAACCCACCUCACAAGACUGAACUCCCUAAAUGCUGAGAGGACACUGAAGCCCUCAGACUUCACUGGCAGGUGAUGGUUCCAGGCAUGCCUGGGCUGAUGUCCUUGGUUCCAUCUUCACAAAACCAUCUUCUCCCACACGGCUGAGUUGUCACAAUUCCAGGACAGGACCCAUCUUAAUACAGUCUGGCUUUAACCACACUGGCAUAAAAAUUGCAUUCUGAGACUCAGAGCUGAUAACAGUGUCCCCUAUUAAAAUCUGUUUGACAUCAAACCUGCAGAAGUUCAGCAUCCAUAGUAUACCAGGCAAGGAUGCAGUCAUACCUUCCUGACAGAGAGUCAUCAAAAGAUGUCCUAAAGCCUACAGCUUAUCAGAACAAAAAGAUGGAAUUGGCGAGGCAACCACCUCCGCUGACAAGGACUGCCUGCCUGAAGAUUUGGUGAAGUCUGCACUUUGUUUCACUCAUUCUGAGGUUUGAAUGGACAACUCAUAGGAAGGUUAUAUAAAAAUAUAUUUUCUUAUAUUUGAAAAAUUAACUCAUAGCUUUUCAAUGAAAUGAGCUCUCAUUUUACAGAGAACCAGCGAGAGAGAAUGCACUCUCACUAGCUAAUCUGAGACAGAAUCCAGAGACAGCUUUCUUGCUCUGUUCUCCAGUCUUGCCUUGUUCAGGAAGAUAAAUUCCAUCUGAAGCAAUUCAGUGGUUUAUAACCCAUUUAAUAGUACAAUAUUAUUGCAUUUGUAGCAUCCAUGAAAAACAAGAGCAGAACACGUCUCUUCCUAUGUCCUCCUCCUCGGCUCAUGAGCAGCCUUUGACUCUCCGGUGUUAGAAAAC